rnacentral:rRNA from 1 species
AUACGGAGGGUGCAAACGUUGUUCGGAAUCACUGGGCGUAAAGGGCGCGCAGGCGGUUUGAUUAGUCAGAUGUGAAAGCCCACGGCUUAACCGUGGAAGUGCAUUUGAAACUGUCAGACUUGAGUACUAGAGGGGAAAGUGGAAUUCCCGGUGUAGAGGUGAAAUUCGUAGAUAUCGGGAGGAAUACCGGUGGCGAAGGCGACUUUCUGGCUAGAUACUGACGCUGAGGCGCGAAAGCGUGGGGAGCAAACAGGAUUAGAAACCCCAGUAGUCC